GAGUCGGACCUGCCCGGUGACCUACGGGUUAAACGGCCGCGGUACACUGACCGUGCAAAGGUAGCACAAUCACUUGCCUUUUAAUUGGAGGCUGGUAUGAAUGGUUUGACGAGGGCUGAGCUGUCUCUCCUGGAAUAUUUAAAAAUUAACUUCUAAGUGAAAAGGCUUAGAUUUAACUGAGGGACGAGAAGACCCUGUUGAGCUUUAGUGUGGAAUAAAAGGUUUAUUUUUAUUAGAAUAGAGGAUUUUAAGUUUAUUCUUACAUCUUUAGUUGGGGUGACUAGGGAACAUGGAAAGCUUCUCUGUUAAUUUGUAGAAAUUUGGUUUACUAACGAGUGAUCCAGCAUUGCUGAUUAUCGGAAAAAGUUACCACAGGGAUAACAGCGUAAUCUUUCUGGAGAGUUCACAUUGAAAGAAGGGUUUGCGACCUCGAUGUUGGAUUAAGGUGUCCUGAGGGUGUAGCAGCUUUCGUUGGUUGGUCUGUUCGACCAUU
rnacentral:rRNA from 1 species